ACUUUUAAAGGAUAGCAGUCAAUCCACUGGUC
rnacentral:tRNA from 1 species